rnacentral:rRNA from 1 species
UUAAGUAGUAAAGGGCGCACGGAGGAUGCCUUGGCACUAGGAGCCGAAGAAGGACGUGACAAACGACGAAACGCUACGGGGAGCUGUAAGUAAGCAAAGAUCCGUAGAUAUCCGAAUGGGGGAACCCACCGCUUUUAAAAGGGCGGUACGCGAAAGCGAGGUAACGCAGGGAACUGAAACAUCUAAGUACCUGCAGGAAGAGAAAGAAAAAUCGAUUUCCUAAGUAGCGGCGAGCGAAAGGGAAAGAGCCCAAACCAAUGUGCAUGCAUAUUGGGGUUGUAGGACUCUCAGAAAAGCGUAUGACGAAGUAUAGUAGAACUAUUUGGAAAGAUAGACCGUAGAAGGUAAAAGUCCUGUAUACGAAAUGCUAAGUUGGCGUGAGAGAGCACCUGAGUACGGCGGAACACGAGGAAUUCCGUCGGAAUCUACCAGGACCAUCUGGUAAGGCUAAAUACUACCUAGUGACCGAUAGUGAACCAGUACCGUGAGGGAAAGGUGAAAAGAACCCCGGGAGGGGAGUGAAAGAGAACCUGAAACCGUGUGCUUACAAGUAGUCAGAGCCCUUAAGGGGUGAUGGCGUGCCUUUUGUAGAAUGAACCGGCGAGUUACUUUAUCAUGCGAGGUUAAGUGGAAGACAUGGAGCCGAAGCGAAAGCGAGUCUUAAUAGGGCGAAAUAGUAUGAUGGAGUAGACCCGAAACCAAGUGAUCUACCCAUGGCCAGGUUGAAGUUUAGGUAACACUGAAUGGAGGACCGAACCAGGACACGUUGAAAAGUGUUUGGAUGAGCUGUGGGUAGCGGAGAAAUUCCAAUCGAACUUGGAAAUAGCUGGUUCUCUCCGAAAUAGCUUUAGGGCUAGCCUCGUUGUGAGUUUACUGGAGGUAGAGCACUGUUUGGACUAGGGGCCCAUCCCGGGUUACCGAAUUCAGACAAACUCCGAAUGCCAGAUAAAUAUCAACGGGAGUCAGACUGCGGGUGAUAAGGUUCGUAGUCGAAAGGGAAACAGCCCAGACCGCCAGCUAAGGUCCCAAAUUGUAUGUUAAGUGGAAAAGGAUGUGAUGAUGCACAGACAACCAGGAUGUUGGCUUAGAAGCAGCCACCAUUUAAAGAGUGCGUAAUAGCUCACUGGUCGAGUGACAUCGCGCCGAAAAUGUACCGGGGCUAAACAUACAACCGAAGCUGCGGAUAUAACUAAUGUUAUAUGGUAGGAGAGCGUUCUAACAUCAUAGAAGCCGAGCUGGAAGGUGAGGUGGAGAGGUUAGAAGUGAGAAUGCCGGUGUGAGUAGCGAAAGAUAGGUGAGAAUCCUAUCCACCGAAAGACUAAGGUUUCCAGAGGAAGGCUCGUCCGCUCUGGGUAAGUCGGGACCUAAGGUGAAGCCGACAGGUGAAGCCGAUGGACAACAGGUAGAAAUUCCUGUACCACCAAAUAUCGAUUGAGAGAAGUGGGGACAGAGGAGGCUAAUUGAUCGUCCUGAUGGAAUAGGACGUCUAAGCACAAAGGUUGAGUAGUAGGCAAAUCCGCUGCUCGAGAAGACUGAAGUGUGAUGGGGAGCGAAAUUAAAGUAGCGAAGUCAAUGAAGCCAAACUCUCAAGAAAAGCCGCUAUCGAGAUAAGAGGUGCCCGUACCGCAAACCGACACAGGUAGUUGGGAAGAGAAUUCUAAGGUGAGCGAGAGAACCAUCGUUAAGGAACUCGGCAAAAUGACCCCGUAACUUCGGGAGAAGGGGUGCCUACGAGAGUAGGCCGCAGUGAAUAGGCCCAAGCGACUGUUUAACAAAAACACAGGUCUCUGCAAAACCGAAAGGUGAAGUAUAGGGGCUGACGCCUGCCCGGUGCUGGAAGGUUAAGAGGAGUGCUUAGAGGUAACUCGAAGGUAUGAAUUGAAGCCCCAGUAAACGGCGGCCGUAACUAUAACGGUCCUAAGGUAGCGAAAUUCCUUGUCGGGUAAGUUCCGACCCGCACGAAAGGCGUAACGAUUUGGGCACUGUCUCAACGAUGGACUCGGUGAAAUCAUAGUACCUGUGAAGAUGCAGGUUACCCGCGACAGGACGGAAAGACCCCAUGGAGCUUUACUGUAGCUUGAUAUUGAAUUUUGAUGCAGUAUGUACAGGAUAGGUAGGAGCCUAAGAAUCAUGCACGCCAGUGUAUGAGGAGGCGCUGUUGGGAU